CAUGAAGCCGGAAUCGCUAGUAAUCGCGGAUCAGAAUGCCGCGGUGAAUACGUUCCCGGGUCUUGUACACACCGCCCGUCACACCAUGGGAGUCGGAAAUGCCCGAAGCCGGUGACCCAACCCGAAAGGGAGGGAGCCGUCGAAGGCAGGUCGGAUGACUGGGGUGAAGUCGUAACAAGGUACC
rnacentral:rRNA from 1 species